CUGUCUGUGUACUGUCCCCCUGGAUUCUGUAUUAAGACGGGUUUCUCUGCGUGGACGAAAGCAGAACGAUUCUGUUACUUCAUAUCAGCCGUCGGAGCAGAAUUCAAAAUCUUGCGCAAGCUGUGGGUUUUUCCAGAAAAUACCGCCCUGAGUCGUCGGUUUCCGAUAUAGAUCCAGAAACUGAAAUUCAGUGCAUCGGAGUCGCGUUCCAGAAAUCGGCAACCGGUCUGAUCAUCCAUGGAAGAAACCGGUACGGGCAGGAAGAAACGUGAGUCUGAGCAUGCGACGAAGUCCGAAACAAGGAAGAGAGCCUGUAAGGAAGGUUUGGAAAGACACGGAGGAUCCGGAAGUGAGGAUAUGAUGGGAGGAAUGAAUUGGAAUUGGAGAAACACAGACUUGUUAUAUGAUGAUAAGAAGCUGGGUGAAGAAGAGUGGUUAAGGGGAGGGGUUUUCCAGCUAGAGGACAAGCAUAUUGAUAAGAGGAACAAAGCAUUGGAUGGGAUCCAGAUCCUCUCAUAAUGAACCUCUGCUAAUACUUCCUAAUAAGAAGAUCUAGACCGUUUAUUUUCAAUAGACGGUUAAGAUCUCUCAUACUCUUAACUCAAGGCUAUUUCUCAUCUAUUCUCUUAUUUCUGUCUCGACUCUCUCUCAAAUUCUCGUCCCAUUCUCUCUCUCUCUCUCUC